rnacentral:rRNA from 1 species
GACGAACGCUGGCGGCGUGCUUAACACAUGCAAGUCGAACGGAAAGGCCCCUUUGGGGGUACUCGAGUGGCGAACGGGUGAGUAACACGUGAGUAACCUGCCCUUGACUUCGGGAUAACUUCAGGAAACUGGGGCUAAUACCGGAUAGGAAUCCUUGCUGCAUGGUGGGGGUUGGAAAGCUUCGGCGGUUUUGGAUGGACUCGCGGCUUAUCAGCUUGUUGGUGGGGUAGUGGCUUACCAAGGCUUUGACGGGUAGCCGGCCUGAGAGGGCGACCGGCCACAUUGGGACUGAGAUACGGCCCAGACUCCUACGGGCGGCAGCAGUGGGGAAUAUUGCACAAUGGGCGGAAGCCUGAUGCAGCAACGCCGCGUGCGGGAUGACGGCCUUCGGGUUGUAAACCGCUUUCAGCAGGGGCGAAGCUUGUGGUGACGGUACCUGCAGAAGAAGCACCGGCUAACUACGUG